GGAUUAGAUACCCUGGUAGUCCACGCCGUAAACGAUGGUCACUAGCUGUUCGGGAGCAAUCCUGAGUGGCUAAGCGAAAGUGAUAAGUGACCCACCUGGGGAGUACGUUCGCAAGAAUGAAACUCAAAGGAAUUGACGGGGGCCCGCACAAGCGGUGGAGCAUGUGGUUUAAUUCGAUGAUACGCGAGGAACCUUACCAGGGCUUAAAUGUAGGUUGCAUGAUCUAGAGAUAGAUCUUUCUUCGGACUACUUACAAGGUGCUGCAUGGUUGUCGUCAGCUCGUGCCG
rnacentral:rRNA from 1 species